ACUGAGAAAAGAUUUAACCUCAACAAAAUCCAUCAGUCUACAAGCCCACAAGAGUAAAUUCUGCAUGAAGGCGCUUUGUACAGAUUUAGAAUGUGUAGCUAUGUGCCAUAAGGUGAUGAUACAAUUUACAAAGAUUAUUGGGAUGAACGCCAACUAUAGCUCAACAAUGAUUCUUCGUGGUAUAAAUUAUAGCCCUCGCCAAUCAUGG
rnacentral:misc_RNA from 1 species